GUUCAUGCUUUUACAGUAUGAAAAUUGGUGAUUUAUAAUAACUUAGCAAAUCGCAAAGUGAAAACAGGCGAUAAAUCAUUCAAGUUUCUGACCUAUCAGCUUUCGACGGUAUGGUAUUGGCUUACCGUGGCAGUGACGGUUAACGGGGGAUUAGGGUUCGAUUCCGGAGAGGGAGCCUGAGAAACGGCUACCACAUCUAAGGAAGGCAGCAGGCGCGCAAAUUACCCAAUUCUAACAGUUUGAGAGAGGUAGUAACAAGAAAUAACAAUACAAGGCAGUUAAAAUGCUUUGUAAUUGGAAUGAUAGAAAUUUAAACCCUUUUUAAAGUAUCAAUUGGAGGGCAAGUCUGGUGCCAGCAGCCGCGGUAAUUCCAGCUCCAAUAGCGUAUAUUAAAAUUGUUGCAGUUAAAAAGCUCGUAGUUGAAGUUCUGCUGAAAGUAACCGGUCUGCUUUUAAUAAAAGUGGUAUCUUGGUAUGUAUUUAGCAAUGAUGUCCUUUGAAGUGUUUUUUACUUUAUUGUAAUAAAGCAUAUUCAGGACUUUUACUUUGAGAAAAUUAGAGUGUUUCUAGCAGGCUGACGCUUUGAAUACUGCAGC
rnacentral:rRNA from 1 species